CAAAUAACUACGAGUAAAAACUUAAAAUUUAAAAGACUUGACGGUACCUCACAACAACCUAGAGGAGCCUGUCUAAUAACCGAUAUUCCACGAUCAACCCGACCCCCCCUAGCCUAACAGUCUAUAUACCGCCGUCGCCAGCCUACCUUAUGAAAGAAACAAAGUAAGCCAAAUAGUCACACACUAAUACGACAGGUCGAGGUGUAACUAAUGAGGGGGCCCAAGAUGGGCUACAUUUUCCAACACAGAAAACACGAAUAAACUGUGAAACAAGAAACUGAAGGCGGAUUUAGCAGUAUACCAAGAACAAAAUACAUGGUAGAAACCAACGCAAUGAGGUG
rnacentral:rRNA from 1 species